rnacentral:rRNA from 1 species
GAUUUCUGACGAACCGGAGUGGCCCGUUUCCUUUUCGGGGAUGAGUGCCGCUUUGAGUUUGUCAUCCUUCCAGAGAGUUGCGUCUACCGUUUACUCGGCCGGACGUAUGCGAUCUGGAUCUAUUACUUUGAAAAAAUUAGAGUGUUUAAAGCAGGCUUAUGCUGUGAAUACAUUAGCAUGGAAUAAUAAUUUAGGACUUUGGUUCUAUUUUGUUGGUUUCUAGGACCGAAGUAAUGAUUGAUAGGGAUAGUUGGGGGUGCUAGUAUUCCACGGCCAGAGGUGAAAUUCUUGGAUUCGCUGAAGACUAACUUAUGCGAAAGCAUU